AUAAGUUCCCUAUCGGUAUAUAUACUUGCUUUGAUUUUGGUAAUUUGAUUCUUCUUCAUUAUUUCAUAUUAACGCUCCUAUGGGAUUUCACGGUGCACGUUGAUGCAGUUAAUACAUUUGAUGAUAUGCGUGAAACAACUGAAAUGUUUUUGCUGUUUUUUUCCAGAGGAAUUCUACAAUUUACGCAUCGCAUCUGUCACUCUAUGAUAAAAAAGGUACGUUACUGACUUACUGUUAACGAAAUAUAUUUGAUGUGAUGGUAUUUUAUGAGGGGUUUGGAGAUAUAAAAAGCAGAGAAAUGGGUUAGGAAGAAGGAGCGAUCGCAGGAUGAAGCUUUUCCGGUCAAACCUGUUGAUUUCUGGUAGUUUUUCCUGCUGUGCUUCACUAUUCUCUUUGUCGAUAGUGGCUUUUCAUGGAAGAUGGGUUAUUUGCUUAAUAUGUUGGCUCGAUCUUUGUUUUUCCUUUUUUUUUAAGACAAUCAAUAUCUUGCUUGUAUUUAUUUUUUUCUUGCACGAUUUAGCAAGUGCAACUAAAAAGGGAGAAAAUGAAUCUAGUAGUAGUUUUUAAUCUAAGACAACCGAAGAAAGUUAAACUUUCUUUUCCUCUUGCAAUUUCCCAAAUUCUCUUUUUCCGUUUUGUUCAAUGUUUGAAUCUCUUGCCUGAGAUUUUGUCUUGUUGUUGGUGAUUAUGAUUGUUUAUUUCUAAGAUGGGAAGCAGGAAGCUGUUGAAUGCUACUUCUGGGGAAUUUGGGAGAGCUAGGAGUUUGAAGUCUUGAAUGGUGACAAUGUUGAAUUUGUGCACAUAUUUGUGUUUGAAAAAAUGCUUGACCGAGUUUAUUUAAGCAGGGGUUAUGUGAACUUAAUUUUUAACUGAUUGUUGGUGUUUUUGGACAUUUAUUAUAGCUUCAAUUUCAGAUUUUUUCCUUUUUUCUCAAAGAAACAUUAACUGUCCAAAUUGGCUUGGGUUUUUCUUUUUUAAAAGUAUUAAAUUAUUACUAGCACUCCUUAAAAUGACAUGAACUCCCCAAAUUAUUAUUAAGUAAUAGUUAUCAUUUUUUUAUUUGUUAAGUAACGAAUUUUAUUGCGAUUGAUUUGAAGUUAACUGUAUUUGUUUGAACUAAAGUAGAUUGAAUAGAAGUGUGAAUAUUUAAUUUUAUAGGAACGAUAACAGAUAAUCCUUAACAUUGAAAUCGAUAAAUUACUUACAAAGCCAAAAAAAAGAUGAAUCAAGUUCUAGUGCUAGUUGAUCAUUUGUAUUAGGAAAUAUUGUAAAUAUCUUUUUUGUAUCUUUUUAUUAUUGGUACAAUAUUCUCUCAUUAAUUGUACAAUCCUAUAGUUGGUAGGUUUUGAUUUUCC
rnacentral:lncRNA from 1 species